AUCAAGUGACCGGGCUUAUCUGGC
rnacentral:siRNA from 1 species